rnacentral:rRNA from 1 species
GAUGAACGCUGGCGGCGUGCCUAAUACAUGCAAGUCGAACGGGUAUAGCAAUAUACUAGUGGCGACCGGGUGAGUAACACGUAGCUGACCUGCCCCUCAGCGGGGGAUAACGUUCCGAAAGGGACGCUAAUACCGCAUACACUCGUCGGGACUAGAAGCCGAUGAGGAAACUUCAGGGGUUGAGGGAGGGGGCUGCGGCCCAUCAGGUAGUUGGUGAGGUAACGGCUCACCAAGCCAAUGACGGGUAGGGGGCCUGAGAGGGUGGUCCCCCACACUGGAACUGACACACGGUCCAGACUCCUACGGGAGGCAGCAGUAAGGGAUAUUGGUCAAUGGGCGAAAGCCUGAACCAGCAACGCCGCGUGCAGGAUGACGGCCUUCGGGUUGUAAACUGCUUUGGAAGGGGACGAGCAAGGACGGUACCCUUCGAACAAGUCACGGCUAACUACGUG